GACGUAGGGCGCGAGCGUUGUCCGGAUUUAUUGGGCGUAAAGAGCUCGUAGGCGGCUUGUCGCGUCGUUCGUGAAAACCCACAGCUCAACUGUGGGCUUGCGGUCGAUACGGGCAGGCUGGAGUUCGGUAGGGGAGACUGGAAUUCCUGGUGUAGCGGUGAAAUGCGCAGAUAUCAGGAGGAACACCGAUGGCGAAGGCAGGUCUCUGGGCAUUAACUGACGCUGAGGAGCGAAAGCAUGGGGAGCGAACAGG
rnacentral:rRNA from 1 species